UACGGAGGAUGCGAGCGUUAUCCGGAUUUAUUGGGUUUAAAGGGUGCGUAGGCGGGAUGCCAAGUCAGCGGUAAAAAUGCGGUGCUCAACGCCGUCGAGCCGUUGAAACUGGCGUUCUUGAGUGGGCGAGAAGUAUGCGGAAUGCGUGGUGUAGCGGUGAAAUGCAUAGAUAUCACGCAGAACUCCGAUUGCGAAGGCAGCAUACCGGCGCCCUACUGACGCUGAGGCACGAAAGCGUGCGUAUCAAACAGG
rnacentral:rRNA from 1 species